CCAUAUCUGAGAAACACUUUCCAUUCUAUUCAUUUUCACCUGAUUCGAAGCUUAGUGUGUUGCUGGAAAAGAAAGAAAAAAACAAUUUUAGUGUAGCGGUGUGUGUUUGGUGCAAUGACUUUGAGGUUUGAAUCAGUAGUGUGGGCUUUAAACCCUAAGCUAAGUCACCACCGUUUCUCCAUCCCCAAUCUUCGUCGGAAUCCCCACUCUCUAUUCGCACCUCCUCCUCCUCCUCGCAUUCGCACUUCCUUCCUCGCAUUCGAAGAAGGAGGAGGAGGAGAAAUCGAACCGGAGAAAAACGAAAACAACAACGAUAACCGUACCGGUGCCGAAGAAUCGUGGAAGCAAGCUCUGGACACGUUCCGAGAACAGGCCUCGAAGAUUCGAGAUGCUUCUCAAGAAGCGUACGAGCUGUACUCCGAGAAGGCGAUUGCGGUGUUGAAGGACGCCACGGAGGAGCUGAGAGUGGCCGCCAAGGAAAUCGGCGACGAAGGCAAACAGUAUCUCACCGUAGUUGCCGAGAAUUCGCCGGAGGUCAAGGAAGUCGUUGAAUCAUUCACCUCUCCAAGUCGUGACCUCAGCGAGAUUUCUCAAUUGCGCGAUUUCUACGUCGGUGUACCUUACGGUUUAGUUCUUUCUGUAGGGGGGUUUGUUUCCUUCAUGGUUACAGGUAGCAUUGCAGCACUAAGGUUUGGGAUAGUGUUAGGUAGCGUCCUUUUGGCUCUAGGUGUUUCAAGUCUCCGGGCAUACAAAAGAGGACAACCUUCUUCUUUAAUGCUCAAAGGCCAAACUGCAAUAGCAAGUAUAUUGUUUUUGCGGGAGAUAAGAUUGCUAGCUGCAGAGGGGUCACCACUUGUAACUUAUUUCACUUCAUUGAUCAGGUUCUUGAAAACUUGCUGUUAUUUACAUGAAUGGUUUUAUAUAACAUAACACUUCUGGGGAGUGGCUUGGUUAUGAGGUGAAACCUGCUAUGAUGUUCUACAGGCACAGAAUGUUGAAAAUUACAUUUUGGUCUGAAGCUUAAAAGUUGACAAGUGGUGCAGUAGUGGCAUUUUAUGUCUACAGAUUGGUACUGGAACAUAAACAAAAAAAUGCAUCAAACUUGGAAAAUGGUGCAGAAAAUUAGUUAAAUCAUACAAGGAUACUAAAACUUCCUGUGGUGUACGUCCUUCCUCUGAAGUGGCGUAUCAUGAACUGGUUUUACCUUUCAUUGACCUCUCUAGUACCCUUUCCAUUUGCAAAUGGUUCUUUAGAGAGAAACCCAUGCUUGGUAGGUUGCAGGUCCUAUUAUACAGCUAAGAGCUUGUUGAUAGUUCAAAUAGGGUCUUGAAUUCUGUCUUUUCCCACCAAAAAAUAAUUAAAAAAAUAGAAGCAGCCCUCGAGUUUUUGUUCACCCUUACAGGAGGGGGAAUUUGCGCUUCUUUUGGCGAAUGAAGGUUUUGUGAGACUUUCCUCUUUUGAAGUCUAAGAAACAAUUUUAACGUUGAUGAGGAGUUACAGAGGAAAUAUAAACAGUCUGUAGAAAAUCACAAAUUCAAGUUAUGAAGUUGUCAUGAAUCAAAGGUUGAUAUUUUACCCAUUAGUUAGCUUUUGGAAUUUAGUUUGAUCCAAGUUUUUUUGUUUCAAAGGAGUAAAGGUCCUCCUUGGCCUCAACAAAGGUUGUAUAAAAAUAUAGGUAAAAACUGCACAAUUAUAAAUCUAUUUGCUUUCCUUAACAUAAUUAAGUGGAUAUAUUUUGUUGUACAA